rnacentral:lncRNA from 1 species
UUCGAAGAUAAAUUUGAUUUCAACACUAUUCAAAAAAUUUAUUCAGUUCAAUUUCAUGUAAUUCAAUUUUGUUUCAGAGAGAACCUAUCAUAAAUUGAAGAAAAAGUUCAAUGUAAAACUUGGCAUAUAGGGAAACUAGGAUGAGCUUAUGUGGUUCAGACUUAUGCCUACUAAAACUGGAUUCAAUAUGGCCGAGGAUCAUCUGUUUUCCAGGUAAUUAUCGUUAAACCACUAUUUUUUGGGAUCCAACUUCAUAUCUGUUUAUUUUGAUAACCUAAAAUUAUCUACUACCUGUUCGAUGUUUUGCCACAGUUAUGCUUUCUAAUUUCAUAAUCAACAUUUCACACUUUGAAACUGAUUCUAGAAUAGCAAAUUUAGUUGCGCAUUUUUGUUGUGCAAAAGUGCUAAUACAGAGUUCAAAAGAGAUAAGUGAACUAGUAAUCAAUGGGCCAAGAAAAUAUUCUUUCCUUUCAUCUUGGUUCCAGCUGGGUAAUGGUGGUCCCACAUAAUGAAUUGCUAGCUAUACUUUCAGUUAAAAAUGCAUCUCUUUCUGUGAAAAAACCGGGCUGAUUUGCCGGAGGUAAUGCAAUUUCAUUGUCCAACAUUGCAACCACAGUAGUCAUGCUUGGUCUAUCAUCUGGACACUGUUGAACGCAUAAAAGACCCAUGUGGAUUAAUCGUAGAACUUCAGAUGGAUUAGCCGAGUCACGUAGAUAAGGGUCAACUAGUUCAAAUGACCUUCCAUCCUUAUAAAGUGUCCAUGCCUGUAGAAGUUUGACCACAGUAACAGGCCUUGUCAUCAGGUUUAGUAGAAUGUAAAUAAACAUGUAUGUUAACAUAUCUAAGAUAAUAAUUACAUGUCCAAGAAGGUUGAGGUGUUGAUCUUCAGCAGAAAAUCCACUAUUUCUCUUGCCACUCACAAUUUCUAGCACCGAAACACCAAAGCUAAAUACAUCUGAUUUUACUGAGAACCGACCAUGCACUGCAUAUUCAGGUGACAUGUAGCCGCUGCAUGAGAAUUUUAGUCAGAAAAUAUUGUUACAAGCAAUAAAAAUGCAUGCCUUGUGUUUAUGUUGUUGAGAAUCUUACUAUGUUCCAACCACUUUGCUUGUUAAAACUUCGUUCUCAUUCUCUCGAAAAGUUCUAGCAAUUCCGAAAUCUGAUAUCUUUGGAUCCAUGUCAAUAUCUAGUAAUAUGUUGCUUGCUUUGAGGUCUCUAUGAAUAAUUCUCAACCGGGAAUCUUGAUGAAUAUACAUAAGUCCUCGAGCAACUCCAUUAACAACUUGGAGGCGCUUAGGCCAAUUAAGUAAUGUACAUCUUGUUUGAUCUGCCAAAAUAUAUGGGAGUCAUUAUAUACCUCAUCCAGUUGUCUUAUGCUUGGAGAAUAGAUAUUAAUUCCAAAAUCUUAAGUUUAUUCUGGGAAGCCAUAAUGCAGAAGGGUACAUGUAUCAAAAGAGCAAUGCUUUCCUAUAAUUAUGCAAUCACCUAGGUUUCAGUUCUGUACUAGCAUUAAUCUUCAAUUACUAGCAUGUUUAUGAAGAUGCCACUGACCAUAUUGUUCAAACAAUGAGUUAAAAGUGGUAGAUAUUCAUUUUGUCUCUAUAUUAAAUUAAUACUCCAAAUUUAAGGUAAUUUUGAACUGAUUGUACUAGAGUUAAAAAUCCUCACCAAAUAAAAUCAAGUCCAGGCUUUUGUUGGGCAUGUAUUCAUAGAUCAACAUCUUCUCCUGUCCCUGAAUGCAGCAUCCUAGAAGCUUCACAAGAUUUCGAUGCUGAAGUUUGGCAAUACAAAUAACUUCAUUCAUGAAUUCAUCAAGUCCUUGCAUGGAUGUUUUUGACAACCUUUUCACAGCAAUAUCUUGACCGUCUUCCAGCAUCCCCUGAGAUCAUAACUUGUGCAAUUGAAAACGUAUUCACUAAAUGAACUUUUUACUCUUUCUCAACUUAUAUUCGUGCUUCAUGUAUGAAGCUCAACUACAUUUAUUCAUUUUCUACAAGAGUUAACUCAAGGCAUCUCAUCUCAAAUGAUGUUUACUAGUCUUGUCAUUCUUCUGUGGUGUUCCACUAACUUGCUCAAAGUACUCUCAGAAAACUACUUGCAGAUUGUGCACAUUUUUACCUUAUAAACAGGCCCAUAUCCACCUUGUCCAAGCUUGUUGUUGAUUGAAAAGUUAUUGGUGGCCUUUGAAAUUGUAGAUAAGUCGAACAAUGGCAGCUCAUGGUCUUCGUUAUGGCUUGCUGAAACAUGAAACAUGAGUAAUAGGAGGAUAUAGUUUAUCAAAGAGAACUUGGAAAGAGGAAAUACUGCUCUGUCAGAUGUGCUUGCAGUUUUCAUGCUUAUUUAUAGGUUUAUUUGCAUGUAUAUGUUGUUCUCCAUGCUCUUGGACUAGUUUUUUCAUUAUAUUUUUUCAGAGUAAAAUGGCUCAGGUUGCUUACCUCUUGCUGUCUUUUUGUAACUUUUUUUCUUUUUCCAGUAAUACAGCAUCGAGCUCAGGCCCAGCAGAAUCAUUCCCAUCAAUGAUGUCAAACUCAAUAUCAAUAGUUUUCUUCUUUUUCCUUUCGUAUCUGCAACAAGUUUAAUCCAGAAAAAACAAAAAAUUGAUUAGUCGUUCAUGAUAAGGCCUUCAAAUUGUGUUAGACUAAAUGUAAACGUAACAUUUACAUUGUUAGAAGUUUGCCAGCUUGUGGGAUAAUAAGAAAUACAAUCUUUGUUUAGUGUAGGAUAUUGACUUUUUGAUUGAUUAUUUUUUCAUAUUCUUACCAAACUCGGAAGAAGCCAUUCUAAUGUAAAUAUCUUGUCCGUUGACAGAUAGAUCUCUGAUGUCAACUAGGUCUCCAAACCAAAAUAAGCAUCCGCUUCCCUCUUUGCUAAUAUCUAAUUGUGUGUAUGCCAUGCAAGAGCAAUUCUUUAAACACUCCACUCUGCAUUCUUCAAUUGUCAUGUUCUUGUUAAACCUAGAAUAUCGCGAGUCAGGUAAUUUAAUUCCAGAAUACUUCAAAAAUACAUCACCCUUUGAACAAUUCAAGGGUUUCCUUCGGAUGCACCCAUUUGACCAAUCUGACCUAAUCCAAUCUUGUGCAUCUUUUGGCACAAAUUUAUCAAGACAUCCACAUGAAGGAGAAUUUCCAAUAUUGCAUCUGCCAUAAGCACCACAUAAUUUGUAAGUAUCACAAAUAUCUGCUGGUAUAUUCAGGUACACAACCCAGUCCUGGAUUCGAUCUACCCAUGUCAUGCGCUGUACAACUCCACUCUGACUCAGAGUAACCCUUGAAAUAACCGACUUGUCAAUGGCUUCUUCCCAAUAGUAUGUCCUGUUCUUGCUCAUGAAUAAUCCAUAUGCGUAUGUUGGAUCCUGCCUUGCAUUUGGUAUCCCACUAAGACGAAUGCCAUUCCAGGGCCCAAUUCUACACACGAUUAGAUUACCUCUUUUUAUGAUGCCCUGAGGAUAUCCAGUUGUAUCCAAGUGAAAUGUAAAAUUUCCUGGAGAUGGAUCUUCAUUGGUCUUCCAUGAUGUCAGAAAGCUCUCUCUACCUGUUACAUAAUUCAAACCAAAUUUUGUGCUUGGUAGAGUUGUAUCACUUAAAUAUUCAAAACUCUGCCAAAGAAAAUUCUCUGGAUUAUCAUCCCUUGCUUCUCUAAGGACCAGGUUUCCUGAGUCCAACAAUUGCAAAAUUGGAUUUUGAGCAACUGUUGAAGUAUUCAAAAACCAUACUAUGUUAUUAGUGUUGUUCAGAAUAGCUAACAAACCUGGCUCAAUGACCUUCAAGAUGCCUGAUACACUUGUUAGCGGAGUUUCCUUGUUGGCAACCCAAACCACAGUGUUACCAGGUAUCUUCUUGUACCAAAUUCCCACGUACCGAUUCCUGGAGUUACCUGGGCUAAAAAAUCCCAGUUCAAAGACUCCCCCAUAUGAAACUAGGGUGUCACCAUCUCUGAGGAUCUGAGUUGUAUUGAUGGUAUCAAUUGCAGUGGAAAUCUUCGAGAUGGACAGUAAAAAUAGUAAGACAAUAAUAAAUGACAUAUCUUUGGUAGAUUUCUUCAUGGCUAAUUGUUUCUAUGUUUUGCUUUGUGUUUUUGUCUUCAACUUUCAAUAUACGGUAUUUGAAUCUGAAGAAACAGCAAUUGCUAGGCCACAGUAAUCAUUCUAAUAUAUUCCUUGCAAUUUCUCCAUUGUUGGUCCACCAUUUGUAAUAUUCUCAAUUGACCUCAAUUGGGCUGUCUUAUGUAUGACUUGACUUGAUUGGAUUCUAGAUUACCAUAGACUUGUUCAGUUAACAGGAUAUUUGUUUGAAAAUUGACAAACUGGCAGUAUGUAGACUUUGAAUGCUGAGCGGAUAUCAAUAAUUUGCCGGCAAUGGAAAACUUAAAACAAUAUAAAAUUAAUUUUCUUAAUUUCUUAUUGUGGUUCAUUGAUUAUUCGAAGAAUUUAUAUACUACUUCACUUGCUGUUCUUACUGUAUGCAGAUCAGGAGCUA